rnacentral:rRNA from 1 species
UCGUCAGCUCGUGUCGUGAGAUGUUGGGUUAAGUCCCGCAACGAGCGCAACCCUUAUCCUCUGUUGCCAGCACUUCGGGUGGGAACUCAGAGGAGAAAAACCAGUUAUAAACUGGAGGAAGGCGGGGAUGACGUCAAGUCAUCAUGGCCCUUACGGCCAGGGCUACACACGUGCUACAAUGGGGCGUACAGAGGGAAGCCAAGCCGUGAGGCGGAGCGGAUCUCACAAAGCGUCCCGUAGUUCGGAUUGAAGUCUGCAACUCGGCUUCAUGAAGUCGGAAUCGCUAGUAAUCGCGAAUCAGAAUGUCGCGGUGAAUACGUUCCCGGGCCUUGUACACACCGCCCGUCACACCAUGGGAGCGGAAUGCACCAGAAGCAGCUUGCUUAACAGCAAUGAGGGCGGCUGCCUCCGUGUGUGAGGGUGUAACUGGGGUGAAGUCGUAACAAGGUAACCGUA